CUGCAGAUUCUGCGGAUGAUCCGCAUGGACCGGCGGGGAGGCACCUGGAAGCUGCUGGGCUCUGUGGUCUAUGCCCACAGCAAGCCCUGCCACCGACCCUGGCGUGGAGCCUCCACUGGCCUCAGGAGAGGGGUCCAGCCCCCAUAUCCCUGGAG
rnacentral:sRNA from 1 species